GGUGGCCAAUGAGAUCCUCCACCCAGUGGAUGUAGUUCAGCCUCAAGGGGACGGUGGGAAUGAGCCUUUCCAGGGGGAUGUCAAUGGUAAGCCCAAAAUCCUCCUUCAGGAGGGUACACGUCAGAGCUCUCACCGCCUCGGGGUCCUUGAAGUUCAGGCUGAAAGCACAAGCAGGCGUUACGUCGGGGUCCGGCCGCAGACACGCGCGCAGCUCGGAAACCCGCCCCCCCUCGCGGCCGCCUACCUCACCCUGCCGGCCAGGGUGGUCUGUACGUGCUGCCGGAACUCGGGGUACUUGCCGGCCAGAUAACGUACACGCAAACAUGCAAAAAUCCCAUUUUCCUGAAGGUGGCUGUCUAAGAUCAGAGUUGCUUCUGAUUGGAAGAAGUGUUUACUAUAAAUAACCUCUAAUAGGCAUUCCUCUGAGCAAGCAGCAGUGAAAGCUCAUCUGGAGGUGGAGGGCGAGCGAGGAAGACCAUUGGAAGAAGCAAAAGGCCAAAAGGCUGUCGGUUGGACUGUCAUGAUGCUGAAAGGACGCUAGGCGGUAGAAGAGACCAUGGAGUACAAGACUGGAAACCUCAUCAAUCACUACCUGAGAUAGGCGUGUGUGUAAUUAUCUCGCAGGUAAUCAGUGAGUGUGUUACUACCUGUGGAAAUAGAAUGGACUCUGAAUCACGUCAUCUUGGAAGGACUUAUGGUGGAAAUAUCCCCAGGGCUUCCCGGUGCUGCUAAAUAAAGAACACCUGACUUAAUGCUAACAAAACCUU